CAGAAUCCGAAGCGGGCUCCAGGCUCCGAGCUGUCAGCACAGAGCCCGACACGGGGCUCGAACCCACAAUCCGUGAGAUCGUGACCUGAGCCCCGAAUGUGAACUGCUUCUAGGGCGACAUCAUCCUUACAUCCAGCCACACCCCUGCGUCUGGCUCAGGCCCCGGUUCAAGCUGCUCUUCUGAUUUAUUGGACGCCGCCUUUCAAGUGACAUUAAAAACCACCCCUGAAGUUCCUGAAUCCCGUCCACUGGCUCCCUACCUGGAACUGCCGGGGACCGUCAGGACGGGGUGCCCAGCCCCGGCGGCCUGAGCAUGGACAGGGACUCAGGGCAGCCCAGCAGGACAGGAGACAAGGGGCACCUUCAGCAUCCACCUCACCUUCCGUGUCAUUGCCCUUGGCGCGAGAUGGCGGGUCUCCAGUGACAGUGUCCCCAUCCUGGAAGUUCCGUGCUGGCCGCAGGUUAGCUCUGGGGCCCAGGCUCUUCCCUGGGCUCCGGUGAGGGCCACCGAGUCGCCGCCCGGAUGUGCAGGCGCUGGACGCAGCACACACGUGCUCCUCUGAAAUUCCAAAUUGCGGAAACUUCGUAUCAAUCAGCGUAGCAGAGAGUUUGGAGAGGGGGCGGUAGGCUCUGGAAAUUAAACGGCACCUUUUGGCAUCUCACGUCGGUGAGGCGGCCAACUGAUUAUUUUUAUAUUACAAUCCCCAGGCGUUGUCAAAUUGAUUAAUAAAUUCGCUGAAAACCCA